GAUGAAGAACGUAGCGAAAUGCGAUAAGUAAUGCGAAUUGCAGAAUUUCCGUGAGUCAUCGAAUCUUUGAACGCACAUUGCGCCCAUUGGUAUUCCGAUGGGCAUGCCUGUUCGAGCGUCAUUAUCCUCCCUCAAACCUCGGGUUUGGUGUUGGACCCAAGUUGUGUGAACAACUGGUCUCAAAGACAAUGACGGCGUCCGUGGGACCCUCGGUGCAACGAGCUUUUAGGAGCACGCGUCGAGUUUCAAGGACCUUCCGGGCCGGUCUCCUUUACUAUUUUUACAAGGUUGACCUCGGAUCAGGUAGGAAUACCCGCUGAACUUAAGCAUAUCAAUAAGCGGAGGA
rnacentral:misc_RNA from 1 species